rnacentral:rRNA from 1 species
AGUGAACGCUGGCGGUAGGCCUAACACAUGCAAGUCGAACGGCAGCACAGGAGAGCUUGCUCUCUGGGUGGCGAGUGGCGGACGGGUGAGGAAUACAUCGGAAUCUACUUUUUCGUGGGGGAUAACGUAGGGAAACUUACGCUAAUACCGCAUACGACCUACGGGUGAAAGCAGGGGAUCUUCGGACCUUGCGCGAUUGAAUGAGCCGAUGUCGGAUUAGCUAGUUGGCGGGGUAAAGGCCCACCAAGGCGACGAUCCGUAGCUGGUCUGAGAGGAUGAUCGGCCACACUGGAACUGAGACCCGGUCCAGACUCCUACGGGAGGCAGCAGUGGGGAAUAUUGGACAAUGGGCGCAAGCCUGAUCCAGCCAUACCGCGUGGGUGAAGAAGGCCUUCGGGUUGUAAAGCCCUUUUGUUGGGAAAGAAAUCCAGCUGGUUAAUACCCGGUUGGGAUGACGGUACCCAAAGAAUAAGCACCGGCUAACUUCGUGCCAGCCGCCGCUGUAA